ACCACUUCACCCAUUUCUGAUCUCUCACGCUCAAUUCCUGCAGCAAAGUUUACUUCACCCAUUUCUGAUCUCUCACACUCAAUUCCUGCAGCCAAGUUUAACGGUAAUAAUGCAAGAUAAUUUCUCUCUUUCAAUUCUUUUUCACAUCAGAAAUCUAACUUAUGUGAUAUACCAAAUGUGCAGAAACAAACAUCCUACACCAACUACUCAAGGUAUUAUGCCCCUUUUGUUUCAAUUAUAGAAGCCACCAACAGAGAAUCCCACACACACACAAUUACUUGGUAUUCGUGUUCUAUGUUCAAGCUUGUUCAACUGAUACAAGUUAUAAUUGAAGUCUUUCAAGAUGAAUUCAGCAAAAACCCUAUUUUUAUAUCGUGUUGACUGGAAAUCGGGCUGAGUCUCUGCUCUGUUUAAGUAUGAGUUAAGGAGGCGGCAGCCAUGGUGGCUCGUCGUCUCCGGCGGCGGCAGACCGCCGUUGUCCUAUUUCCGUCCUGCCAAAAAAUCAAAGGAAAAGGAGGGAGAGUUAUUAUUGCUUAUAAUAUGUAAAAUACAGAAAUGAAAAAGAAGAGGAAAAUAAAGAAAAAGGAAGGAAAGAGGGGGGGACGAGCCUGCCGAACUACGGUGCUCUUGUUCCGCCGGAAAAGAGAGAUUGGGGGAGGACUAGAAUUCUCAGUUUUAAAUUUUAGGAAGAAGGAAAACUAAAAAGAGAAAGAAGGGAGUUAGGAUUCAACCUGGUUGAGGCGAGGCGGAGUUGAUCGGCACAGAGAGAGGGAGACUGUAGCCGUGGAUCCGGCUGAGGAGAGGGUGAGAGAGAGGGGUCAGAGGGAAGAGAGAUGUCGAGGGAGAGGGGCCGCUCGCCGGCGGCAGAGAGACAGCCGAGAGAGAGGGAGCGGCGUGUUGUGUGUGAAAAUGUGUGUGUUUUGAUUAGGUUAAAAGAAGAAUGGGCUUGGGCCCCUUGGUUAUGAAAAUGGGCCUUCGAGCCUUAGUUAAAAGAAAAUCUGAUGGGUUUUAAUAAUUUAAAUUGUUUG
rnacentral:lncRNA from 1 species